rnacentral:piRNA from 1 species
UCAGAAAGUGAGCAGGAGUAAGGGCAGU